rnacentral:lncRNA from 1 species
CAUAUAAGUAAUUUUCUCUCUGAGUGUUAGUGUUAUAGAUUCCAGGGGACAUACAUGCUUCUCAAGAUUCUAAUAAGGGGAGUUACCCCUAAUAAACCUAGAAAUCUUUAUUCUUUACAAACAUGUAAGUUUGUGACUUCUUGAGCUCCUCCAUAAUCUGUUUUCUUUUUGUAAGCAUAGAGGAGGAUAGUAUUUUCUCCCAACCUUGCCAUUGGGAAAAGCUAUGUAAUUAGUUCUGGCCAAUGGGUUAUGGGCACAGCAGACUUGUAAUUUAGUCAUGUGAUUACUAUCUCAAGACUUGCAGCUCUGUUUUCCUCUUCCCCAGGGUCCUAGGGGGCUUUAUAUUCCAGAAGGUGCAGCUAUGAGGUGGUGGGGCCUCUGCAAACCAGGCUUCCUCAGGGACUCUCUGGUGACCUAUGUGGAGUAUGUGGCCUGGGUCCUUGGGCCUCUGGGUCCCUAAAUAACUGUAUCUGGGGUCCAGAGCAUAAGCCAAAAAUUACUGAGAUUUUGUAGUUGAUUGUUAUUGCAUUGUAGUAAAUGCUAAAUGUGUGAGUAAUGGGAACUGAGGUUGAUUUUUAUUAGCUUAUCACUAGUAGAAAAGGUUUAUAAAUGUUAAGGAAUCACUUAAACUGUCUUUCAAUUUAAAAAAAUUUUUAUAUAAUGAUUUCUUUUUCCAUUAUAGCUGGUUUACAGUGUCCCGUCAGUUUUCUACUGUACAGCAAUGGUGACCCAGUUACACAUACAUGUAUACAUUCUUUUUUCUCACAUUAUCCUGCUCCAUCAUAAGUGACUAGACAUAGUUUCCAGUGCUAAAUAGCAGGAUCUCAUUGAUAAUCCAUUCCAAAGGCACUAGUCUGCAUCUAUUAUCCUCAAGCCCCCAAUCCAUCCCACUCCUUCCCCUUCCCCCUUGGCAACCACAAGUCUAUUCCCCAAGUCCAUGAUUUUCUUUUCUGUGGAAAGGUUCAUUUGUGCCAUAUAUUAGAGUACAGAUAUAAAAUAUGGUAUUUGUCUUUCUCCUUCUGACUCACUUUACUCAGUAUGAGAGUCUCUAGUUCCAUCCAUGUUGCUGCAAAUGGCAUUAUUUUGUUCUUUUUUAAUGGCUGAGUAGUGUUCCAUUGUGUAUAUAUACCACAUCUUCCUAAUCCAGUCAUCUGUAGAUGGAUGUUUAGGUUGUUUCCAUGUCUUGCACUUCCAUGCGGGGGUGCAUGUGUCUUUUUUAAGGAAAGUUUUGUACAGAUAUAUGCCCAAGAGUGGGAUUGCUGGGUCAUAUGGGAGUUCUAUGCAUAGUUUUCUAAGGUUUCAUACUAUUCUCCAUAGUGUAUACAUGUAUGUGUAACUGGGUCACCAUGCUGUACAGUAGAAAACUGAUGGAACACUGUAAACCAGUUAUAAUGGGAAACCACCUUACAUUCCCACCAACAGUGCAGAAGGGUUCCCUUUUCUCCACACCCCCUCCAGCAUUGUUUUGUGGAAUUUUUAAUGAUGGCCAUUCUAACUGGUAUGAGGUGGUGUCUUGUGGUAGUUUUGAUUUGCAUUUCUCUUAUAAUCAGGGAUGGUGGACAUUUUUUCAUGUGCUUGCUGGCCAUCUGUAUAUCUUCCUUGGAGAAAUGUCUAUUCAGGUCUUUGGCCAUUUUUCCAUUGGGUUGUUGGCUUUUUUGCUGUUGAGUUGUGUAAGUUGUUUGUAUAUUUUAGAGAUUAAGCCCUUGUCAGUUGCAUCAUUUGAAACUAUUUUCUCCUAUUCUAAGUUGUCUUUUUGUUUUCUUUUUGGUUUCCUUUGCUGAGCAAAAGCUUGUCAGAGAAUGUUUUACCUAUGUUCUCUUCCAGGACUUUGAUGGUGUCUUGUCUUAUAUUUAAGUCUUUAAGCCAUUUCGAGUUUAUUUUUGUGCAUGGUGUGAGGGUGUGUUCUAGUUUCAUUGAUUUGCAUGUAGCUGUCCAAGUUUACCAGCAAUACUUGUUGAAAAGACUGUCUUUUUCCCAUUUUAUGUUCUUGCCUCCUUUGUCAAAGAGUAAUGGACCAUAGGUGUCUGGGUUUAUUUCUGGGUUCUCUAUUCUGUUCCAUUGGUCUGUCUGUCUGUUUUGGUACAAGUACCACACUGUAUUGAUGACUGUGGCUUUGUAAUAUUGCCUGACGUCUGGGAGAGUUAUGCCUCCUGCUUAGUUUUUGUUCCUCAGAAUUGCUUUGGCAAUUCUAGGUCUUUUAUGUUUUUAUAUAAAUUUUGGAUUGUUCUACUUCUUUGAAAAAUGUCCUGGGUGAUUUUGUAGGGAUUGCAUUGAAUCUGUAGAUUGCUUUGGGUAGUAUGGCCAUUUUUACGAUAUUAAUUUUUCCAACCCAGGAGCAUGGGAUAUCUUUCCAUUUCUUUGAAUCCUCUUUAAUUUCCUUGAUUAAUGUUUUAUGGUUCUCAGCAUAUAAGUCUUUCCCUUCCUUGGUCAGGUAUAUACCCAUGUGUUUGAUUUUUUUGGGUGCAAUUUUAAAAGGCAUUGUAUUUUUGUAUUCCUUUCUUUGUACAAUGUAGGUCUGAAUUUAUUAAAGGGAAUACUUUGGCUGUUCCCAAGUUUCCUUGAUAGAAUUGAAAGAAAAAAUCAUGUUCUGAGGUACCUGGUUAUAGUAUUACAGAAGCCUUGAUCAUGUUAGGAUACAGAGGAAAAUGCUCUAGGUCUUCUGUGGUUUUAAUUUACAAAAACCAUCUUUUAUUUGCACUUGAAAGUAGCUGCAGCUACUGUCACUUAAGAUAUUUUUCCCACUUUCAUUGUGCCAUGGAAAUUAGCAUUUUUAUUAGUGCAAAUUAUUCUUGUUUGCUAAUUCCAGAGAUGUCCAAAAGCAAGAACAGCCUCCUGGGCCAUUCGACUUUGGAAGAGAAUAGUAAAUCAAUGGGUAGAUAGGACUAUAUAUCAUAUUAAACACAGGGAAUCCACCACAAAAUCAUUACACUAAAAAGCGACAAUUUUGAUUGAUUAAAAUGGUAUGGGCUGGAUAGUGUUAAAUCACUCUGAGUGAUAUGACAUUAUAAUUUUACAUAGCAUAUUUCUGCCAAGACAAUGAAGGUAAAAGGCAUUGUCAUCAGAUGAUAACAGACAAUAAGAAGAAUCCUGAUGUUAGAUUUAUUACCUGGGUUAGAUUUAGAAAGAAGUAAUUCUUGUCCUGUUCCACUUAUCAAAUGACUGUAAAUUCAGUGAUGAUGUAAAAUUCUAAGGCAGAGCCACUUAUAGGUUUGACAAAGUGCCAGCUAUAAAGUAUUUAUUGUUCUCAGUGUUUCUGCAUUACACACUUAAAUAUUUAUCAGAAACAUAAGCCCCUCUGAUAAAUGUUUCUGAUCUUUGUGGCUAGAUUAUAUUUUUUAACAUUUAGAUUUUUCAUCCAGAAACUACAUCUUCAUUUUUAUUAUGUUAAUAACUUUGAGCUCAUCGUUUGAAAAGGCAGUGAGUUUUAAAAUCUUGUUCCUUUUAACUUUUGGUUUUAAGUGUGAAAUUUUUGAGGUGGUAUUCUUAAUAUAGCAAUGAGGACUUCCUGGGAGUUUCCUGGUGGCCUCGUAGAUUGAGGAUCUGGCUUUGUCACUGCUGUGGCUCUGAUUACUGCUCUGGCAUGGGUUUGAUCCCUGGCCAGGAAACUUCUGCAUGCUGUCA